rnacentral:rRNA from 1 species
UAACGGCGAGUGAAGCGGCAACAGCUCAAAUUUGAAAUCUGGCCCCCCGGGGUCCGAAUUGUAAUUUGCAGAAGGUGCUUCGGGCGCGACGGCGGUCCAAGUUCCUUGGAAUCGGACGUCGAAGAGGGUGAGAAUCCCGUAUUUGGCCGAUCGUCAAGCCCACUGCGAAGCCCUUUCGACGAGUCGAGUUGUUUGGGAAUGCAGCUCCAAGCGGGUGGUAAAUUUCAUCUAAAGCUAAAUACCUGCCAGAGACCGAUAGCGCACAAGUAGAGUGAUCGAAAGAUGAAAAGCACUUUGAAAAGAGAGUCAAACAGCACGUGAAAUUGUUGAAGGGGAAGCGCUUGCAACCAGACUCGCACGCGGGGGCUCAGCCGUUCCUCGGGACGGUGCACUCCCCCGCGAUCGGGCCAGCAUCGGUUUCGGCGGCCGGACAAAGGCCCGGGGAAAGUAGCUCCCUCUCGGGAGUGUUACAGCCCCGGGUGCAAUGCGGCCCGCCGGGACCGAGGACCGCGCUUUUGCUAGGAUGCUGGCGUAAUGGUUGCCAGCGACCCGUCUUGAAACACGGACCAAGGAGUCGACCGGCGACGCGAGUGUUCGGGCGUCAAACCCGGGCGCGCAAUGAAAGUGAACGGAGGUGGGAGCCCCCGGGCGCACCAUCGACCGAUCCUGAUGUCUUCGGAUGGAUUUGAGUACGAGCGCCGCCGGUCGGACCCGAAAGAUGGUGAGCUAUACGUGGAUAGGGUGAAGCCAGAGGAAACUCUGGUGGAGGCUCGCAGCGGUUCUGACGUGCAAAUCGAUCGUCAAAUCUGCGUAUAGGGGCGAAAGACUAAUCGA